AUCAACGCUGGCGGCGUGCCUAACACAUGCGAGUCGAGCGGAUGAGGGAAGCUUGCUUCCCGAUUUAGCGGCGGACGGGUGAGUAAUGCCUAGGAAUCUGCCUAUUAGUGGGGGAUAACGUUCCGAAAGGAAUGCUAAUACCGCAUACGUCCUACGGGAGAAAGUGGGGGAUCUUCGGACCUCACGCUAAUAGAUGAGCCUAGGUCGGAUUAGCUAGUUGGUGAGGUAACGGCUCACCAAGGCGACGAUCCGUAGCUGGUCUGAGAGGAUGAUCAGCCACACUGGAACUGAGACACGGUCCAGACUCCUACGGGAGGCAGCAGUGGGGAAUAUUGGACAAUGGGCGAAAGCCUGAUUCAGCCAUGCCGCGUGUGUGAAGAAGGUCUUCGGAUUGUAAAGCACUAUAAGUUGGGAGGAAGGGUUGUAAGCUAAUAUCUUGCAGCUUUGACGUUACCAACAGAAUAAGCACCGGCUAACUCUGUGCCAGCCGCCGCGGUAAAAC
rnacentral:rRNA from 1 species